AUGCACUAUAAUAUCUUGGGCCGAACCAGGCGAAAGCAAUAUACUGGGCCUAAUUUUGGUCGAUAUUGCGGCCCACUCGCAACAUCUCCGGCCCAUUACGGCCCACCCAAGCGCGUCCACAAAAGCAGCAGCCUCCUCCCCUUCCUCCUCCGUCCGGUCAACCAUCUCGCAGAUCCACCCGCUCCGCCGCCGCCGGCCUCCUCUUUGAUCCCGACCCGCGCGUCUCCGCCGCCGAGGAUGACAGAGGCACCAUUUGUACCACGUGAGAAGCUGUUUAAGCAGCAGCAGUAUUUCCAGAAUUUAACCAAGCACACCCACUUGAAGGGCCGUUUCGACGUAAUCACCUCUGUUGCCAUUCCCCUUGCGCUGGCUGGCACCAGCUUGUUCAUGAUUGGCCGUGGCAUUUACAACAUGUCCCACGGUAUUGGGAAAAAGGAGUAAAAUUCAGUUGUUCAUUAGUAUCUUAGCUUGGCAUGGAAGUGAUACUAUCCAGGCUAUGACAUCUUCUUUGGUUGCAAAAUAAUACUGUCAAUCUGAACACAUUUUGGUUCACUUUGUUGCAAAAUUUGUGGAUAUAUGAUGUCAGCAAAUUGAUGCUAACUUGUCAGAAAUGUGAGAACAUUGGCAUCGUUGCUUUUACCCAGUUUAAUUGCAUGCUCCUGCUCUGAGUUUUCGUUA